CAGCACCUCAAGUGGUCAGGAGGAUUAUUGGGCCUAAAGCAUCCGUAGCCGGCUCUGUAAGUUUUCGGUUAAAUCCAUGUGCUCAACACAUGGGCUGCCGAAAAUACUGCAUAGCUAGGGAGUGGGAGAGGUAGACGGUACUCGGUAGGAAGGGGUAAAAUCCUUUGAUCUAUCGAUGACCACCUGUGGCGAAGGCCGUCUACCAGAACACGUUCGACGGUGAGGGAUGAAAGCUGGGGGUGCAAACCGGAUUAGAUACCCGGGUAGUCCCAGCUGUAAACGAUGCAGACUCGAUGAUGCAAUGGCAUAUAGCCAGUGCAGUGUCGCAGGGAAGCCGUUAAGUCUGCCGCCUGGGAAGUACGUACGCAAGUAUGAAACUUAAAGGAAUUGGCGGGGGGAGCACCACAAGGGGUGAAGCUGCGGUUCAAUUGGAGUCAACGCCAGAAAUCUUACCC
rnacentral:rRNA from 1 species